rnacentral:rRNA from 1 species
UGGGGAAUAUUGGACAAUGGAGGCAACUCUGAUCCAGCAAUUCUGUGUGUGUGAAGAAGGUUUUAGGACUGUAAAACACUUUUAGUAGGGAAGAAAGAAAUGACGGUACCUACAGAAGAAGCGACGGCUAAAUACGUGCCAGCAGCCGCGGUAAUACGUAUGUCGCGAGCGUUAUCCGGAAUUAUUGGGCUUAAAGGGCAUCUAGGCGGUUAAACAAGUUGAAGGUGAAAACCUGUGGCUCAACCAUAGGCUUGCCUACAAAACUGUAUAACUAGAGUACUGGAAAGGUGGGUGGAACUACACGAGUAGAGGUGAAAUUCGUAGAUAUGUGUAGGAAUGCCGAUGAUGAAGAUAACUCACUGGACAGAAACUGACGCUGAAGUGCGAAAGCUAGGGAGCAAACAGG